ensembl:snRNA U6 U6 spliceosomal RNA
GCUCUCACCUCAGCACAUAUACUAAAACUGGGAUGACCAGAGGAGAUCAGCAUGGCCCCUGCACAAGGAUGACAUGCAAAUCUGUGAAGCAUUCCAUUUCUUU